rnacentral:rRNA from 1 species
AUUGAACGCUGGCGGCAGGCCUAACACAUGCAAGUCGAGCGGUAGAGAGGUGCUUGCACCUCUUGAGAGCGGCGGACGGGUGAGUAAUGCCUAGGAAUCUGCCUAGUGGUGGGGGAUAACGUUCGGAAACGGACGCUAAUACCGCAUACGUCCUACGGGAGAAAGCGGGGGAUCUUCGGACCUCGCGCCAUUAGAUGAGCCUAGGUCGGAUUAGCUAGUUGGUGAGGUAAUGGCUCACCAAGGCGACGAUCCGUAACUGGUCUGAGAGGAUGAGCAGUCACACUGGAACUGAGACACGGUCCAGACUCCUACGGGAGGCAGCAGUGGGGAAUAUUGGACAAUGGGCGAAAGCCUGAUCCAGCCAGGCCGCGUGUGUGAAGAAGGUCUUCGGAUUGUAAAGCACUUUAAGUUGGGAGGAAGGGUCGUAACCUAAUACGUUACGGCUUUGACGUUACCGACAGAAUAAGCACCGGCUAACUUCGUGCCAGCCGCCGCCGUAAAAC